UACGUCGUUUUUGAUCUAAAAAAGUUAGUAUCAUUUGCAAACCUCUUCCACCGUCACAACUCACAAAGCUCUUCAGGUCUUCACCUCUUCUGUUCUUCUCUCAACGUCGCCCUGCUCUACGACCUAAUAGUAACCUUUGGAAGGUUUCUUCCCAUUCCAGCCAAGCCAACCUCCUAAUCUCGGUAGAGCCAAGCAAAAGUUCAUUCGUACUUUUCCUGUUUGCCAUUUUUCAUGAUCCUCACCCUAGAUUUUUCUAAGGUUUCGAAAUUACAAAAGUGGGUAAACUACAAAUCUGGAAAAGGCUUGUCGUCUGAGUCUUAAUCGCUGUGGGAAAUCAUAUAGGUUGUUUGAGCUUUCUAUCUUUUUGGUUCAAAGGACUCAUCUGCUUCUUCAUCUUCUGGGAUUUUUGGCUCUAACUUUGCACCUUCGUCCCAGAUUUUAAUGGGGGAGUACGCUUCGUUUGGGAUACAGUUUUUAGUGGUAAAGUGUUAGAUGUGCAAAGAGAAAUGGUUUCUCUUCUGUGUCGAGCGAUGCCUUGAACCCCCUUCGGGGUUACGUUUCUCUUCUGUAGGUCACCUUUGGCCCAAAGAGAUGGAUGUUGCCCAAUUCAGAAAACUCAGUUUUAGCCUCGACUGCGAAUGAUAUGCACUGUGAUAAGUACACCCCCAUUGAUUCUGGAAAGUUGAAGUUCGCAGUUAUAGGGCUAUCUCAAAGUAAGUUUCAGUCUUUUCAUUCGAUGCUUCUCAUUUGGUAGAUCUAAAUUUCUUUCUUCAAGGAUAUUUGAUCACUAUUAAUAAUAAUAAUGAUAAUAAUAAAACCAUUUUUAACAAUGUAUAUUUCUGUAUAAACUUGAAUCUGUUCAGAACUCAACAAACUUGAUGGCUAGAUGAGUAUUGAGCUGACAAUAUUAGCUUCUCAUUCUAAGUUCAACUCAAUCCAAUUAUGAUCUGACCCAAAAUUGACUAAUCCUCGCCAACACCACCCCUGAACCUGUUUUACAUCUAUAGUUCUCACCUUUAUGUUCUAUGAUCCCCCAAAACCCACGAAGAAUCUCAAUAGGGAGUUGUUGAGACCUUUAUUAGGGACUUUUUUGUGUUACCCAAGUGCAAUAACUUUUAUGUACAACACUCUUCUCUCUUUGAUAAACCCAAACUCUAAUUUAUGAAUCAGGCAGGUAGCCUCAUACAGUUAUAACCAAAUGUUCAAAUUGAUUAAAAUUUAUUCAUAAUCUAUCUAAUACAUCAUUAAUUGCUUAAGUUUGAUUGAUUUACUAUUGAUUAAAAAACUUCACGGCUAUAGUAACUGAUUUGAAGCAUACUUUGGCUGAUAUUUCUGAUUCCAUUAGAUUUUUGUUACAUUACCUGAUACCACAAUUUAAAAGUAUACUUAUAUUAUCCUUUUUUACCUUUGAUUUGUAAUUAUUUUUACAUAUCCGUACCAUUUGUAUGCACUUAAUGGGUUAUGCAAUGUUCUUCAUUGAUGAGUGAAACUUAUCUUAAAUUUUAUUUGGUAUGCUGGCUCAGCAAAAUAUUUGUGUUCCUUCCCACUAUGUCCAGAAAAUAGGGAAUUAUAUACAAACAGAGUAGCCUAGAAUACUGGUGGUCCAUGGACAAGUUUGCUAAAUGCAAGUAUCAAGCAAAACACAGCAGAGUGAUGGCAUCUUGCCACAUAUUUUCUUAUUUUUAUUCUUAUAACCAGGGUAUCCGGGGCAAAGCCCCGACUAAUCCACUCGCGCAUGUCCCCUAAGGAAUUGUUUGCACCCUGAUACUAGAUGAUGCUUCACAUAUAUUUUCUUGUUAUAUGUUUUGAUAUCCUAACAAUCUCAAACGAUUGGUAUCCUAAUUAGAGGAAUCCAGUCACAUUGGCUUACUAUAACAUUUUUAGGAAGCGGUACAAGCAGUUGAAUGGUGAGAAGCAAGAUAAAGGGCCACCAAAAAAGUAAACAGGUGAUGAUAUUCUGGAAUAACUUAACUGCAUACCCGAGGUUAGUUUCAGAAAGGGACCAAAUAACAAGAAGCGAACUUGUGAAAAAUUUGAACUUAAUUGGACAAAGAAGAUGAUGAUGGAGAUGACAUUCAAUAUAGUUCAGAUGAGGAACCAGAAUUGUUGUCCGACGAUGAUACUGAUUUGGAUGACAUAUGAAACUUUGUAUUGUUGAGCAUAUGCCGUAUUUUUUUGGAAUCAUGAUUAGUACAUUAUGUGAACUUUAUCUAGAAUUGAGUUCCUUUUCUUUUUCAAUAUAUUUACCUUUUAGCAUCUGUUGAGUGCUGGAAAUUAAUUAAGUUCAUUUGGUUGUGUGUUGCAUUACUUUUCUGAUUUAUUUAAACUAAUCUUAGAUCACUUGAUUUAUUUUCUGUUUAUGUUUUGAAGUAACCAAUAUCAAAUGAUGACUUAUAAUGUAUUCCGCAUAUGCUUGUUAUAUUUAAUAUUACUAUAUUAGCUUGUAAACAAAAUUAUGGACACUUCUAAGGCACCAAUGCGUAGAAUAUUAAGGUCCAGCGUGGCUCAAACUCGAAUUGAGACACCAUCUACAAGUUCAGCUGCCACACAACCGAGUGGAGAAGUUGAUGGUAGUAAUUCAAUAAGUCAACAACCUAUUAUGGAAGGUGCUGGUAAUACUUUGCAGACGAGGCCACAACCAAGUGGAGGCCCAGUAUGAAAAGGGCGUGGAAAGGCAAAGAAUAUAGCCCUACACAAAGCUUAGGAACUCUAUGGAAAGGAUAUUCCAAUUCCGGUAGAGUUUGGGACAAGUUAUGUUAAACCCAUUGGCAAAAAUCACAAUUUAUGGACGGCUCAGGUUGGCAUGCAUGCGAGAGAUAAAGAAGCACUAUUGAAAUAUAAAACGUGGAGGGAAAUUCCAGAUUAUGAGAGAUAGGUGACCUUUGGAGUGGAUGCACAUGACAAUGAAACUGAUUUCAAGCGAGUAACUAAAGAAAUAUCUGAACGUUUGAGGAAAUAUAGAUAUAAAUUGAAGAAUCAUUUUGACAAGCAUCUUCCAAUUAAGAAUGCACGCUUACAUCCUUAUGGUAUUAUUGAUAUUGAUGUUUGGGGAAAAAUGUGCGAUUGGUGGACGUCACCAGAAUUUCAAAAAAUAAGUGACAGAAAUAAAGUCAACCGUUCGAAGAAUGAUACUCCACAUGUUUCUGGAUCGAUGUCUUUUGCCAGACGCUAUGAUGUUUAUCUGAAAGAAAGUCAAGAAAGGCAAGAAAGGCAAAACGAAGAAAAUGAGGAAGUUAAAAGUCCUGAGGAAGGUCCUGCUAUUUGCAUGUACAAGGACACGCAUUUUAGGGAAGAGACUGGAUGGGAAACGAGAGAGCUAAGCAGAACUACGAUGAAAUGAAAUGGAAGUUUUCACAAGUUUUUCACAAUUCUGAUGGUACCAAUCAUAUCAUAAAUGAUGUUGAGAUAGUGGAAAACCAAUUAGGUAUUAGAAAGGGAUACCGUCGUGGGUUCGGAAAUGGUUUUGUAGCUCCAAGCCAUCAACGUGCAUCCUUAUCUUUUGAAGAGGCUUCCAGAAAAAGGGUAAAAAAUGUUGAAGAAGAUAAUGCACAACUUAGGGAGAAAGUUACAAAUUUGGAGGAGAAGUUGGAUACAUUUCAGCACCUCCUUGAUCAGCAAUAACACCUCCUUGAGCAGCAACAACAACAGCAACAGCAGCUCCAAUAGCUCCUUAAGCAGCAACAACAGAGCCAAUAACCGCCACCAUGAUUCCACUAACAGCAGCAUGCCCCACCAAGCUGGUAUCAGCAACUACCAACAUGGUGGCAAUUUCAGCACCACCCGUCAGCACCACCACAACAAUCACGUGGUUGAACUAUAAAGAUAAUUAUUUUAGUAGAUAUAUUUUGGAGCUUUUUGAUGGCUAGCUAGCUGAUUUCUAACUAUUUUGGCAGAGUAUUUUUUGCCUGUAUUUUCAUGAUUGCAUUCAGUUUAAAAUGAUGUUUUAAUUUAUAUCAGAUGUUUGAGACAUACUCCAUGCACCGUAUUGUGGUGAUAAUCUAUUUUUUUCUUUCUAAAAUGAUAUUGUGGAUGAAUGUACAUUUUACUUUUCAUGUUUUGAUACAUAA